AAAAGCAAGAGAAGCCUUCAAUUUUCCUUAAGAAUAGUUAAAUUACUGUCUUGCCCCUAAAUCCUUCAUUGAAAAAAUUUCAUUUUCUCUCAAGAAUAAAAUUACAACCAAACCCCUUCACAACCUCUGUCUGACUAAUGCUGAGUACUCCGUGUUCUUCUGUCUCCCAAAACUCGUUGCUUUCUCUCUCCUCACUUAGCUUUCUCCGUGAUUUCCUCCUCCCUUUCCCUCUUCUCCUAUCUUUUUAAUGAAAUUCUAGUGUAACUUUGCCCAAUUUUGAAAUGUGUGCUUAUCAAGUUUGUGCAUCGGGCAAGCUGUAUGACUCUUUUUUUACAAUCUAAAGGUUGAUUUUUCUCUUUCACGUGGCAGCUCCGACAUAUACUAUACAUGUUUGAAAGAUAUAUUUGUCAUUUGAUGGUUGUUAGGUGGUUAAUGUUGUUAGCUAUUUGAAAUUCUGUUUGGAAUUUGGAUGAUUCAAAAUGGAAUCAGAUGUGGUGUAUCUUUGUAGGUCUGUAGGUGUAGCUCCUGAACGUGCCCGGCCCGUGCUGGACCGAAAAGUUCAAAUCACACCCAUGCCCGCUCAGGCCCAGCCCAUGGGCCGUCGUGCCUAGGCCUAAUCCUAACACUUAUAAAAGCAAGAACUUUGAUUUACUAUUCCUGUAAUAGUGAAUUUACGGUUAAACCCUCACUUUCAUGCACAAUUUUUUUUGGUCUUCUACCUUAAAGACAGUGUAAUUACAUUUUGCCCUCCUUCCCUUCUGAUUGUGCCGCGUGGCCUUUUUACCCUCUCCUCCGAACCCUCCUGCUUUCAACCCUCUCCUCCCUUUUCUUACCUGCUGCUUCUUUCUCCUGUGCUAGGGCUUACUCAAGGCGAUCUGCAGGCUUUAGAUCCCCGGCAAGGUACUUGUGCUAAUGUGUUGUUGAUUUUCGAUUAAUUCAACUAUAUGAUCUUAAUUUUUCAUUUGUUGUUAAUUUUUCGAUUACUUUUGACUAAAUGCCCUCAAUUCUGCUUUUUUCCUCUCUCAAUUUUCUUCGUUUAUCUAUUUUGUAUCGGUUUUUUGGAUUAUCUGUUGAUUUUAUUUGUAUUUUUAUUGGUUCAAAAAGUGUAGUUUUCUGAUAUGAAAGAUACAUUCUGUUUGUUUUUUGUUAGCUCUGUUGUGAGUUUGUUUUAUUGUCCAAUUAGUGUAUCCCCACUUCAUAGUCUAUAGGCUAAGGGACAGGCCUGUUUGAACACUGCUUGUCCCUGUCAAUUUUCUCAAAUGCUUGCUGAUUAUGGUUUUGUAAGCAGCUUAUAAGUGUGAUUUGUGCAAAGUUUUAGGUUUUCCGAGUCAAUAUUUUUUAGUGCAAUGGUUAAUAAACCUAAAUUAUAAGACUUCAUAGCAAAUUAUGCUCCGAAAAUCAGUCAUUGUAUUGUUGAAUACUGCUUAAUGUCUGUCAGUUUGUUCAAAUGACAGCUUAGAAGUGCGGGGGAUACUUAGACUCUUAUGGUUGUUGUUGGUUAUAAAUCUUUACCUCUUAGAACAGUAAGGGACCAUAGUGUUGCAGAGUCUAGCCAGUUUUUCGGGGGAAGAAGGUGGUGUUGUGUAUAGGAAGGGAAGAAGAAGAAACAUGGGAAAUGGAGAAGGGGAAGUUCUGAUGGGAGUUAUCAGUUCAAAGCUUCUCAUGGAAGCUAAUUUGAUAAGCCUACGAAAGAUAAGAAGUAUCAAAAGAAGCUGAAACUUCACAUAUCAGGUAUUUAUUUCUGUUUGUUCCCCUUCACCAAGUAAUAAUGUGUAUGUUAUCUUGUUGUUGUCAUUUAUUUUUGUGCUAUAGUAGGAGUACUCAACGAAAUGUUAACACAACUCUAAUAUCCACAUAGGAAUCAGAUAGACCCUGAAACGGUGAAAUACUUAUCUUAGAUUGCGAAUGUACUAGAAAGUGUUAAAGUAGAUUAGUAGAGUUGGAAGAGUGUUCUGUCGUUUGUGGUAAUUCUUUGGAGGACAGCAGAGGGAAAGAUAUGGAGCUUGCAAAUAACCGUAUUAUCUUCCACAUGAUGCAAACGUUGUUGAACUGCUGUGAUGCGGACCAUAUUUGUGGUUUUCUUUGUAGUUGUGCGUCAAUAAGAAUAGGCAAACAACACGUACUAUAUAUCUUACAGAUUGACGAACACAAACUAGGGACUGAGAUUGCUGCUGAAACUUCUGUUGUCGUGGCUGCUGCUUCAAUUGUCUUUAGCAAAACUGAUAAAGCAUAUGCUCGCCAACUCCUCAACAAGGCUAAAUCAGUAAUGUUCCUCUUUCACAUCGUAUGCCCCAUUCCCAGCACUAAUUCUUACUCAAUACAUUAAAGAGUAAUGCAUGCAUGAAUCAUGAUAUCUGAUAUGAUGAUUAAUUAACCUCGUACAUCAAUGCCUAAUAUGGCACUGGUCCCCUAGCGCAGCUCUUUAGAUUUGCUGGAAGUUUAAAAGGAACAUUUGAUGGAGAAUGCCCCUUCUACUGCUCUUUAUCUGGCUCUAAUGACGAGAACCAAACCUACUACCAUUACAGAAGAUCAGUCUGUUGAUGCUACCAUAAGUGGAUUUAAUUGGGACCUCAAAUAUGCCGGAAGCCAGAUCCUUCUCACCGAAGUAAGUGCGCACUGCUGGUAGAAGGUCGUCAUGCAAUUUUACUCACCUUUUUAAGUCAUUGAGUAACAAUACAUCUGGAUAUAUAUACAAUAAUAUACCAAGUAAUUGCAAUAUAAUAUUAACUUUCUUGUUUAUUAACAAAGUAUCUCCAUGAUGAGCUUGUGUUGUAGUUGUGCCAAGGAUAUUGGUCGAGCGGAUUGCUAUAGAUAGGUGUGGUUCUCAUGUAUAGUAGAAACAGUUCUCAAUUCUUUAUCCAAACAUCUCUAAGAUGAGGAAUUCUACAAUCUAAUAAAAGUUACUCUAACCUUAAUAUGCCAGGUAAUCUCUUUUUUUCCUAUGCUUAUGUAGAACAAGGAGUUUCAAGUUUUCUUCAGUUGCUAUUAUCUUUUACUGCUUUCUCUUGUUGAUACUGCUUCCGCUUGCAGACAACACUCUACCGAAGUGAUCUCGUCUUAAAUAAUACUUUUGCUCAACAAUCCGUGUUACUCUACCAAAGUGUGUCUCUGGCUCUCCGCUCAACUGAAAGGCUCACCCUACUUUUGUAAUGCUUACAAAAUAUUAUUUGGUAAUUUAAAUUAUAUCAAUUUCUCGAUACUGCAAGUUUUACAAACAAAAUAAAACAAGAUGAGCCUUUCACAACCUUUUUUUUUUAUGUUGUUCAAUAAUUUCUCUGAAUUAAAUUGGGGAUUUUCUUUUUGAAAUUCGAUUAUUUGGCAUUGAUGUGGAAAAAUUAAAGUUUUUUUUAUUAGGAAGGUCGAUAAAGAGAUUAGUGGUGCUUCCUUAUACAAACUCCAAUAUAUAUCUUUAUCAGGACCCCUUCAGAGAUUAAUCUUUUCUUAUAUAGAUUCCCUUGAAUAUUUUUUACACUCAACUAAGAAAUUGUGACGCCUAAGCUUCUUGGAAGUUAGAACUAUUGAACUGUUGCACGUUCUUAUCUCAUAAAGUAGCGUACCGACAGGCAGUGGAGGCUCAAGGAGGAAAAGUCUAAUUGUCGGUGUGAUGCGAUCUUGCAGAGAGAAAGAAAUACUAUAAGCCACUUCUAGAGCUUUAAUUAGUGUGAGAUUAUUAUUUUUGGUGUACGUAUAAUGGUAUAUCUCUUGGAAAUUCGCCUUUUUUAUGUACAGGUACUGAUCAUAUGCAAUAUCCAAUGUCUUAGCAGUAUUUGCUACAAUUGAUGUCUGCAGUCUGGUGUGGUUGUAGCGGACGGACAAAGGGGAAGGUAAUUUUGCACGCUUCUCCGAGAAGACGAGGUGCACCUUGCCAGAGUCUGAUAUCAGGCAGCAAAACUGUAGCCCAACUGUAUGUCUACUUGAUAUUCUAUUGCUGUCCACCAUAUCAAAGAUGCAGGCAUGUAAAAAAAUCUGACUGAACACGUAUCCUUGGCUGGAAAUGAGAUGGCAUUAAUACUUAGAGAAGCCGAUCCAAUGUUGAUUGAUCCUCCAAUUGCAUGGACUUGAUUUGCCAUGGUUCACCAGGCUCAGCAUGAGAUUGCAGCAGCAUUUGAAAGUGAACAGAAGGAAUUGAUGGGGGUGAAGAGCAUGCUAUUUUGUAGCUUGAAACAGGUAAUUGGAGAGGAUCCGGAUGAUACUAAUGUACUAGCACCAGUUAGGGCUCGGUCUACGCACCCAAGAGUUCAAAAUGUCACAGAAGUACCUUAAAGAUGCAGUAUCUCGACUUAGGGAAUGCAGAUAUCCCUGGUCCAACCUUGGCAUCUCUCUACAGUUAGCAGAAGAACCAUUUCAAGAUGAGGAGGCUUUCAAUCGAGCCUUACUUUUGCCUACUUCUCAGCAAGCACAUGCAAUAUUUCGAACCUAGAGAAUUAUUACAGGCAGGAAAAGAAAUAUGAUAGUGCAAAAGAAAUGUUCACAAAAGCACUUCAGCUCACAAAAGCAUCUUAUUUGAAUCUCAACAAUUUCUGCCAAUAUCAGUUCUUUCAUCUCUUGUUUUUUUUUUCCUGUUUUGUAGUUUUUGUUUAAUUUUUAUGUUGUUCUGCAUUCUUGUUACAGAGUUUUAUCAUUGUUACAGAAUAUGAUGGAUAAAACUCAUCACUACAUCAAUUACUUGUUUGUUAAUUAAGCUCUAUUGUUAA